AGCAUGUGGUUUAAGUUCGAAGCAACACGAAGAACCUUACCAGGUCUUGACAUCCCCUGACAACCGAGAGAUCGGCGUCCCCGUCGGGGACGAGGGUGACAGGUGGUGCAUGGUUGUCGUCAGCUCGUGUCGUGAGAUGUUCGGUUAAGUCCGCUAACGAGCGCAACCCUCGCUGUGUGUUAUAUGUGUCACACGGGACUGCCGGUCUUAAGCCGGGGGAAGGUGGGGAUGAUGUCAAGUCAGCAUGGCCUUUAUAUCCUGGGCUACACACACGCUACAAUGGCCAACACAAUAGGUUGCUAAGCCGCGAGGUGGCGCCAAUCCAUAAAGUUGGUCUCAGUUCAGAUUGUAGGCUGCAACCCGCCUGCAUGAAGAUGGAGUUGCUAGUAACCGCAGGUCAGCUAUACUGCGGUGAAUACGUUCCCGGGGCUU
rnacentral:rRNA from 1 species